rnacentral:lncRNA from 1 species
GUCACUUCUUUUCAGAAUUCCCUCAAAUUCCUGAACUAGAAUUUAUUGCUCUGACGAACUUCUUCCUCCCACCAACCAACACAUUGAAGUUUCUUUCCAGGCUUUUUGAGUGAUUGCCCACAAUUAGGAACAACCCAGCAUACCCAUUAGCUGAAUGAAGACAAAUCUUAGCCCUCUGAGACUGAUGGUCUCAGAAAGUAGUCUUCAGAUUACCAGCUUCAGAAUCAGCUGGUGGGUUCACUAAAAUGCAGAUUCCCAGGCCCAGUGAGGACUGAAUAAAUCUUAGUUUCCCAGGUGAGUCAGUUUUGGCUGGCACUCCCAGGUGAUGCUUAUUCAGAGUAAAUCUGGAGAACUGCUAAGAAGGAGAGAAACCACUGUCUUCUAUUUCUCAUACUACAGGCAGUGGUCAUGAAAGUGAGCAAAAUACUCUGUACCUAAUCUCAUAACUUCUUUGUAGAUCACUGUGGGAGAAGAAAAUAGGUUUUGUUGGGACACAGCUUUCAUUAAAUAGAGUCACCUUUGAUAAUUAA